UACCCGCUCCCCCGAGUGGUGGGGACGUAUUACUGGGCCGUAAAGACGCCCGUAGCCGGCUCGGCGUGUCUCUCGUUAAAUCCACAGGCCUAACCUGUGGGCUGCGGGAGAUACUGCCGGGCCUGGGGUGGGAGAGGCGCCCGGUAUUCCCGGGGUAGGGUAAAAUCCUCUGAUCCCGGGAGGACCAUCAGUGGCGAAGGCGGGGCGCCAGAACACGCCCGACGGUGAGGGGCGAAAGCUGGGGGAGCAAACGGGAUUAGAAA
rnacentral:rRNA from 1 species